ACGGAGGAUCCAAGCGUUAUCCGGAAUCAUUGGGUUUAAAGGGUCCGCAGGCGGUUUUUUAAGUCAGAGGUGAAAUCCUAUCGCUCAACGAUAGAACUGCCUUUGAUACUGAAAGACUUGAGUUAUUGUGAAGUGGUUAGAAUAUGUAGUGUAGCGGUGAAAUGCAUAGAUAUUACAUAGAAUACCGAUUGCGAAGGCAGAUCACUAACAAUACACUGACGCUGAGGGACGAAAGCGUGGGUAGCGAACAGG
rnacentral:rRNA from 1 species